rnacentral:rRNA from 1 species
AUGGCACCCGAGCACCAGCAGUUUCAUUGUAGCACACUUACAGAUCAAGCAACAAUAAGUGCAUCCACUCGAGCUCUGGGAAGGCAUGGCGCUGGUGCUGGCUCCGGCUCCAGGCGACCUCCGCACCACCGGCCGCCGUCCGGGCAGGGCACUCCUGAUCAAAUCGAGGGAACGACCAUGGAAGCAUCAAAUUCUACGCGGCGGCAGCGGCCAAGAGAGAGAAAAAAAGCAGUGGGAACAGAGCGUGGACCUGGGCACGGUGACCGUGCAGCCGUCGUUGGGCGUGUGGAAACUGCAGGCGGUCGUGAUGGAUCGCGUCGGCGUCGCGCCGCAGCAGAACUCGACGAGGGCGCCGACCUCGCCGCCGCCGUCCUUGUCGGGAUCGACUGCUAUGUCCUCACUGGGAUCGAGCGUGGGAGGGAGCGACAGCAAGUGAGUCGAGCGGGAGAGAGAGGAGGGGAUGAGGGGCCGCAAACGGCGGCUACGCGGAGGACGAGGAGGGGCCGCAGACGGCGGCCGCGGCGCAACUGGGUGGCGGAGACGAGGGGGGAUGGAUCGUAG